rnacentral:tRNA from 1 species
GCCGGGAUGGUGGAACUGGUAGACACACGAGACUUAAAAUCUCGAGGGCCUUGCCCGUGCGGGUUCGAGCCCCGCUCCCGGCACCA